UGAUCGCAGUGGGGUUUAGUCUCUAAAGA
rnacentral:sRNA from 1 species